AUUGAACGCUGGCGGCAGGCCUAACACAUGCAAGUCGAGCGGAUGAGGGAAGCUUGCUUCCCGAUUUAGCGGCGGACGGGUGAGUAAUGCCUAGGAAUCUGCCUAUUAGUGGGGGAUAACGUUCCGAAAGGAACGCUAAUACCGCAUACGUCCUACGGGAGAAAGCGGGGGAUCUUCGGACCUCACGCUAUUAGUUGGGCUUAGGUCGGAUUAGCUAGUUGGUGAGGUAACGGCUCACCAAGGCGACGAUCCGUAGCUGGUCUGAGAGGAUGAUCAGCCACACUGGAACUGAGACACGGUCCAGACUCCUACGGGAGGCAGCAGUGGGGAAUAUUGGACAAUGGGCGAAAGCCUGAUCCAGCCAUGCCGCGUGUGUGAAGAAGGUCUUCGGAUUGUAAAGCACUUUAAGUUGGGAGGAAGAGUUGUAAGCUAAUAUCUUGCAGCUUUGACGUUACCAACAGAAUAAGCACCGGCUAACUCUGUGCCAGCAGCCGCCGUAACAC
rnacentral:rRNA from 1 species